CCCCAUGCCUCCAGACUCUAUGUCUACACAGCUCACCUUGGCCAUCUCGGGGCCAGAGGGCAGAAGCAGCUUAUGUUGGGAAGGGGCAUCUGAGAAGAAGGAGCAGGUCUGCUUGUCAAGAGUCCAAGCACGCCUGUGUUCUGUGGCCACAGGAGAGGAGGGGCCGCUUUUAAAUACAAGCCUACUCCUGUCGUUGGACCAGAACAAAGACCUACUGGCCAGAAGCACAUGAGAGGUGAGAGUCGCCCUUCUGCCUUGUUCGGCAUCGUGUGUGUGCACCUGUGUGUGUGUGUCUGUGCAACUGUGCAUGUGUGCACAUGUGUAGCACACCUGUGCACGUACAUGUGCCUGUGUCGGUGUCCAUGUAUAUGGCUUGCAUGUGUGUGCUUGUGCACACGCAGGAGUGUAUGUGUGUGCCAUGUGAGUGCCUGUGUACAUGUGCAAGAGUGGGCUCAGGUGUAUCCACAUGUUCAUGGUAUACCUCGGCCGGUCCUAGACCUAGUAUCAGACUCUGCUGCUCCUCACUGGCAUAAAGGCAGACCCUGAACUGGGCAUGGGGACACAGAUGGGUAACACGCAAACCACAGGGCCCUGAUCCGGGGGAUGCUGGCCAAGCCACGGGCAGUGCAAUGCAGUAUGGCAAAGGAAGGUUUCCUGUCCACAGUGCCCCUCAAGGCAGGGCCCCCCAGGAGCCCACUGGCCAGGCCCAGAGGUGGGGUUAGCUCUGCAGUGUGAACUCAUAGGUUCUGGUCUCCCAGUGGGAGAGGUCCUUGUCCAUCAUGCUACGCUCAGUGAAGGUCACGUGGCCGUCCGCAUCUACCAGGAUGAUAGUGUUGGUUCUGAAAGAGAGCAGGGGCCCUCGUUCACCUGGUGUCCCUCAGCCCUGCCCUGCCUGUCACAGCCACAAAUAGGGCAAGAAUGCAGGCAGGUAGAGUUAGGAACCCCAUGCCUGGAGGCUGUGCCAAGUCACAGAGAGCAGCAGCCUCAGUCUUGGGGAUGAUGAGGGGCCAUCAGUGGCGUGUGAGCUCUUGGCUGGCUCCACAGGCCCACACUUGCUGAGUCCUGCCACCUUCACUGGGAACCACCCCACCCUGCCCUGCUCUCCCCGUGUAGCAUGAGCCAAGGCAUAGGGCAGCCUGCGGGCUGACCACACACUUCCCCUUUGGAGGCCCAGGUUCCCAGACACAGCCAUGCUUGGUUCUUCCAAGAGGUCAAGCUGUUGACCACUUGGGGCCCAGGCCUCCUCUGUCUGGAAGGCUUCCCUCCUGUGCCCUCUCUUCCACUGCCCAGGCCAUGCCAGCCCACCUGAAGCAAACAUUCAGCACACUCU
rnacentral:lncRNA from 1 species